UAAGUUAUGAAGGGCGCAUGGUGAAUGCCUUGGUACUAGGAGCCGAUGAAGGACGGGACUAACACCGAUAUGCUUCGGGGAGCGGUAAGUACGCUUUGAUCCGGAGAUUUCCGAAUGGGGAAACCCAAUCAUCUUAGUCGAUGAUUACUUGAGCAGUGAAUUCAUAGCUGCCAAGAGGUAGACGCAGUGAACUGAAACAUCUUAGUAGCUGUAGGAAGAGAAAGAAAAUUCGAUUCCCUGAGUAGCGGCGAGCGAAACGGGAAGAGCCCAAACCACUGAGCUUGCUCAGUGGGGUUGUAGGACUGAACUUUGGAGUUACCAAAGAAUCAGGUAGUCGAAGUGGCUGGGAAGCCACACCAGAGAUGGUGAUAGUCCAGUAGACGAAACCUGGUUCUCUCCGUUCAGGAUCCUGAGUACGUCGGGACACGUGAAACCCCGUCGGACUCCGCCGUU
rnacentral:rRNA from 2 species